UUUGGCUCGGGCUUGGGCUUGGGCUCGGUCUCGGGCUUACUUGAUUUGGGCCUGUAACUUUCUUUUGCUACCCAAAUAUGCAGUAAACGGAAUCUCGUCCUAUAUAAUAGUAAUAUUUCGGCGGAAGCUUCUAUUGCAGCUCUCAGAAAUUGAUGAGAAAGUUCCCAUCACAAUUCGGUGGUUUAUAGCGUUAAGCAAAAACCCAAAAUUCAAAGUCUUUUCCUUUACCUUGUUUCCCUCAUUCCGGUGUUUUCCUCUCUCUUCUCUCCCACAUUCAAUUUCAAAGGCAUAGAGUGAGAUCGCGGACGAUGAAGAGAGUAUUUGGUGUCAAGAAGAACAAGGAGCCUCCUCCUUCCAUUCAGGAUGCUUCUGAUAGGAUUACUAAACGAGGUGACACGGUGGAUGACAAGAUUAAGAAGCUUGACGCCGAGCUAAGUAGAUAUAAA